rnacentral:rRNA from 1 species
GACGGGGGGUCCAAGCGUUGUUCGGAAUCAUUGGGCGUAAAGCGUGUGCAGGUGGUCUUGUAAGUUGGAUGUGAAAUCCCCGGGCUUAACUCGGGAAGUGCAUUCAAAACUACAAGACUUGAGUAAGGAAGAGGGUCGUGGAAUUCCAGGUGUAGUGGUGAAAUACGUAGAUAUGCGGAGGAACACCGAUGGCGAAGGCA